rnacentral:misc_RNA from 1 species
GAUGAAGAACGCAGCAAAAUGCGAUAAGUAAUGUGAAUUGCAGAAUUCAGUCAAUCAUCGAAUCUUUGAACGCACAUUGCGCCCGCUGGUAUUCCGGCGGGCAUGCCUGUUCGAGCGUCAUUUCAACCCUCAAGCCCCCGGGUUUGGUGUUGGGGAUCGGCUCUGCCCUUCUGGGCGGUGCCGCCCCCGAAAUACAUUGGCGGUCUCGCUGCAGCCUCCAUUGCGUAGUAGCUAACACCUCGCAACUGGAACGCGGCGCGGCCAUGCCGUAAAACCCCAACUUCUGAAUGUUGACCUCGGAUCAGGUAGGAAUACCCGCUGAACUUAAGCAUAUCAAUAAGCGGAGGA